rnacentral:misc_RNA from 1 species
GGAAGGAUCAUUAUUGAAAUAAACCUGAUGGGUUGUUGCUGGUUCUCUAGGGAGCAUGUGCACGCCUUGUCAUCUUUAUAUCUCCACCUGUGCACCUUUUGUAGGCCUUCCAGGUCUAUGUUUGCCUCAUUUAACCCCAUGUUAAUAGAAUGUUGUUGUGCCUAUAUAAUAUACAACUUUCAGCAACGGAUCUCUUGGCUCUCGCAUCGAUGAAGAACGCAGCGAAAUGCGAUAAGUAAUGUGAAUUGCAGAAUUCAGUGAAUCAUCGAAUCUUUGAACGCACCUUGCGCUCCUUGGUAUUCCGAGGAGCAUGCCUGUUUGAGUGUCAUUAAAUACAUAUAUCAACCUUCUCAUUGUGGAAUGGUUUGGAUGUGGGGGUUUUCUUGCUGGAACCUUUCAAAGAGUCCAGCUCCCCUU